GACGAACGCUGGCGGCGUGCUUAACACAUGCAAGUCGAACGGAAAGGCCCUGCUUUUGUGGGGUGCUCGAGUGGCGAACGGGUGAGUAACACGUGAGUAACCUGCCCUUGACUUUGGGAUAACUUCAGGAAACUGGGGCUAAUACCGGAUAGGAGCUCCUGCUGCAUGGUGGGGGUUGGAAAGUUUCGGCGGUUGGGGAUGGACUCGCGGCUUAUCAGCUUGUUGGUGGGGUAGUGGCUUACCAAGGCUUUGACGGGUAGCCGGCCUGAGAGGGUGACCGGCCACAUUGGGACUGAGAUACGGCCCAGACUCCUACGGGAGGCAGCAGUGGGGAAUAUUGCCCAGUGGGCGGAAGCCUGAUGCAGCAACGCCGCGUGCGGGAUGACGGCCUUCGGGUUGUAAACCGCUUUCGCCUGUGACGAAGCGUGAGUGACGGUAAUGGGUAAAGAAGCACCGGCUAACUACGUG
rnacentral:rRNA from 1 species